UGUGAUCAUAAACACCUGUACCAGCUUUUGGUUGAAAUUACUUGCCACAUGAGAAGGGUGAAAGCGAAGCACAAUCUUUUCUCCUCUUUUCUUUUUCUUUUCUUUUCUUUUGAAAAAAUAGAGGGAAUGGAGCACCUUAUUCUCAUGAGGACCUUUUGGGGGCUGUGGUCUGCAUUCUGAUGUCGUAGAACUUGCCAGCCUCCUCUCUCAGAUUCCUCAAUGAUAUCUUAGUUUGAGAACCAAUUCCAGUCUCCACUGAGUUUCUGGCCUCCAGUUUGCUGAAAUGAAAGGGCGGGCAACAUUGGCGGUCGAUCAGUUGUUGUCAGGAACUCAGGAUCCAUUGCGGUCCGUGAUCACAUGAGUUAUAUUGUUUCAUCCUCUUACACUGUUGGGCUGUAUGCAUUGAGAAGCAAGGGAGGGACACAGCAUCCGGAAGAAGAAUUGCACAAAGCUUUGCAUAGAGAUAAAGCGGAGGUGGCCAUUGUAUAACUCUUUGAUGCCUUCUUGCAUUGGGACUGCACAAAGGCAACGAAUGGAAUAACAGAAUAAGCAUAGAAUUCCCCUUUGUCUCCUUUGGUAAGUUUGGCACCUGUUUAGGUUAGCUACUAGGCAGCCAGGCCAAAGGGAUGGUAAGGCAAUGGUCAUAGGCUGUAUCCGUGUGAACUUUGAAGCCGAUGCCGUAACUUCACUGUUGUACAUAGGGCACACAAAAGCGAGCUUAAAAUGGAGCCCUGGUUCUUGGAUUGCCCUGCAUCCUUCUUCUUUUGCUUUAUGCUUGCACUUGUUUCUGACCAUGAUAUGUCCUCCAUGCUGUGAUGCAGAGAUGCUUCUUCUUACAUGAGUAACUGCAUGGGCUCUGGCUUUUGGCCUUUGCCUUCCAGAUGGUCGUGUGUCCCACAUAGCUAUCUAGUUAUGAUGCAUACGUCGUGAGCACGCAUGAUUGCAUCAGCGUAAUUUCUAGUCUCCUUGGCCAGGGCACGCAUGUGAAUGAAGAAGAAAAAGGAAAAGCAGGGUUAGUUGCAGCUGCAGCUGCAGCAUCUCUAGGCUCUGCUGUUUCUGGGAGCAGAGUGACCGGUUUCUAUCCUGAUAAGAGUAAAAGGUGGCCUAUUAUUGUUUUGUUUUUGCUUCUUUGUUCUUUUGUUUUAUUAGAGAAUUUUUUUUGUCUUUUAUUGGGCUCAUUUUUAGGUUUCAAAUUACAAGUUGUUUUUAGCUUCGUUAUAUGUCAAACUUCUCUCAUUUUAACCAAGUUUAUGGAAAAAAAUCAACAGACAACUAUGAUAUCAAAUAAGAUUUUUUUUUUGAAGCUCAGCAGGGGGGGAAUUUUCCCCACCUGGUAAAUAAGAUCAAUUAGAUACACCAUCAAACAUAUUUUGCAUUUAUUUGAUACCGUAGAUGCUAAUUUUUUUUCUUCAAACUUGGGCAAAACUAAAACAGACUUGCAAUCCGCGGCAGAGGGAGUAAGACAGCAGUGUGUGCUCACUUAAUAUAUACACAUACUGUUUGCUUCAGGUGUGAAGAAGUUACGGAGGCGACACGUGCACCAAGAACGAUAAUGUCAUUGCGUACUGCGUUCAAUUCAAGUACUGGAAAAGCUUGACAAGGAGCCCGAAUAGAUGUGUUCUCUUCGAAUAAGUUGGUGAGGGAAUAAUCCUUGCGACUAAUAACCAAGCGAUAUAUAUAGCCACCACCAGGGUACGGGCAGCACUUAUAUAUAUAUAUAUCCUAUAUACUACGAUAAGCAACGAGGCCGGCCCCUGAUCCUGAGCGAUCGAUCCAUAUAUAUGGUAUCUAUACCAUGACAGUACUUCACUGUUGAGGAAUUGAAGCGAGGUCGAGGCAUGUGUGCGCUGCAUAUGUUCCGUUUCCAAAUAGCUGCUGAGGAGUAGUACAUGAUUCCCUGAGCAUUGGCUCCGAUGAGUUGCCCUGCCAGCAAAGAUGACCGGCCGGCCGAUGAACAUAAGAAGAAACCGAUGGAGACCACGUCGUAUAUAUUCGCCGGGCAUUAGUUGGGGUUCCUUCGCCUACAGUUUGAUUGCAGAUGCCUCCGUAGAGUGGAGUGGAAUUAAUCAGCUCAUCGACCAAGGCCGUAACUUUUGCUGUUCUCCCUUUUCCCUUGUUCCAUCCUUAUAUAUUAUUAUAGAUACAUAUUUGGCGAAAGAUUGCGUGAAUACAUUCGGUCGUUACUUGUUUAAGCGUUUGGGUAUCAUAUGCUCUUGUUUCUCUGGAUCCCCUUUCCCCCAUGUCUUUGCAAAUUGCAGCAAGCUGCUGCUAGCUCUUGGUGUGGUGGCGGUUUCAUCUUGCUGCGCGGGCCGGCUCGUGACAGGGAAUAUGGGAAAGAGGCCGGGAAUUGUAUUGACAAAGCUGGAGGAGGAAUCACGUUCAAGCAAGGGACUUUACACGGCCUC